AUACGGAGGAUCCGAGCGUUAUCCGGAUUUAUUGGGUUUAAAGGGAGCGUAGGCGGACGCUUAAGUCAGUUGUGAAAGUUUGCGGCUCAACCGUAAAAUUGCAGUUGAUACUGGGUGUCUUGAGUACAGUAGAGGCAGGCGGAAUUCGUGGGGUAGCGGUGAAAUGCUUAGAUAUCACGAAGAACUCCGAUUGCGAAGGCAGCCUGCUGGACUGUAACUGACGCUGAUGCUCGAAAGUGUGGGUAUCAAACAGGAUUAGAUACCCUGGUAGUCCACACAGUAGACGAUGAAUACUCGCUGUUUGCGAUAUACAGUAAGCGGCCAAGCGAAAGCGUUAAGUAUUCCACCUGGGGAGUACGCCGGCAACGGUGAAACUCAAAUGAAUUGACGGGG
rnacentral:rRNA from 1 species